GUAGGUGGCGAGCGUUGUCCGGAUUUACUGGGCGUAAAGAGCGCGCAGGCGGUCGUUCAAGUCGCGUGUGAAAGCCCCCGGCUCAACUGGGGAGGGUCACGCGAUACUGAUCGACUCGAAGGCAGGAGAGGGAAGUGGAAUUCCCGGUGUAGUGGUGAAAUGCGUAGAUAUCGGGAGGAACACCAGUGGCGAAGGCGACUUCCUGGCCUGUUCUUGACGCUGAGGCGCGAAAGCUAGGGGAGCAAACGGGAUUAGAUACCCCGGUAGUCCUAGCCGUAAACGAUGGACACUAGGUGUUGGUGGUAUCAACCCCGCCAGUGCCGAAGCUAACGCAUUAAGUGUCCCGCCUGGGGAGUACGGCCGCAAGGSGKA
rnacentral:rRNA from 1 species